CUUUAGUCCUGACGGAAACGACAUCCUUUAAAAUAUUAUUUUUAAAGAUAUAGUAAACAGCAGGAAAAUGG
rnacentral:sRNA from 1 species